UACGGAGGGUGCAAGCGUUAUCCGGAUUCACUGGGUUUAAAGGGUGCGUAGGAGGGCAGGUAAGUCAGUGGUGAAAUCUCCAAGCUUAACUUGGAACUGCCGUUGAUACUAUCUGUCUUGAAUAUUGUGGAGGUGAGCGGAAUAUGUCAUGUAGCGGUGAAAUGACUUAGAUAUGACAUAGAACACCAAUUGCGAAGGCAGCUCACUACUCAAUCAUUGACUCUGAGGCACGAAAGCGUGGGGAUCAAACAGG
rnacentral:rRNA from 1 species